rfam:Oryza sativa (indica cultivar-group) chromosome 2, whole genome shotgun sequence.
AAUAACAAAUUGUGGGUUCCCGUGCCAACGUUUGACUGUCCGUCUUAUAUGAAUUUUUUUUAUAAUUAUUAUUUUCGUUGUUGUUAGAUGAUAAAACAUGAUUAAUACUUUAUACGUGAAUUAUCUUUUUAAUUUUUUAAUAAUUUUUUUAAAUAAGACGGACGGUCAAACGUUGGACACGGAAAUCAGGGUUUGUCUUUUU